GGGCCUGCGUCCGAUUAGCUGGUUGGUAGGGUAACGGCUUACCAAGGCGAAGAUCGGUAGCUGGUUUGAGAGGACGGUCAGCCACACUGGGACUGAGACACGGCCCAGACUCCUACGGGAGGCAGCAGCAAGGAAUAUUGCGCAAUGGGCGAAAGCCUGACGCAGCGACGCCGCGUGGGGGAUGAAGGCUUUCGGGUUGUAAACCCCUUUUCUCAGGGAAGUGACGGUACCUGAGGAAUAAGUCUCGGCUAACUACGCGCCAGCAGCCGCGGUAAUACGUAGGAGGCGAGCGUUAUCCGGAUUUACUGGGCGUAAAGCGGGCGUAGGCGGUCCUUCAAGUCGGAUGUAAAAUCUCCCGGACCAAAUGGGAGAGAACAUUCGAAAAUGCUGGGCUUGAGGAUAGCAGAAGGAGGUGGAAUUCCCGGUGUAGUGGUGAUAUGCGUAGAU
rnacentral:rRNA from 1 species